AAAAAAUUAGCUUGGACAGAAGAAUAGCAUGCUCGUCGUCGGGCCCCUCCCUCUAGUAAAUACUGUAGCAAAGGAGCGGGUAGUGGGUUGUCCUCUAAAUUUGUCCGAGUGUCUCUCGCACCCCAGGCGUGAUAUCGCUAAAUGCUUCUUUAUCCUCCAUGGAAUCGCCGCCAACUUGAAUCUUCUGAGGCUUGUUGUGUCCGUUUUUCGUGAAUUAUGAGCUUCCUUGUCUUGAGCAGUGUUGCCAGGAGUUCAAAUCUAGGUCCACAACCCAAUGUGAGAUUCUUUGUGUGACGACCGUCAGAGAGCGUCAGACGACUCAGAAUAAAAGCAGAGAGCAAUGGGAACGAGAAAGUCCACCACCCUCCCCGACUCCUGGACUCCUGGACUCCUUGGACUCCUGGACUCCUGGACUCCUGGACUCCUGGACUACUUGCUUGGUCCGUGGUCCUCAUCGGUCGGGUUGUUGUUCCUCCCUCGCAACAGACUCCCUCGCUUGAGUGCGCCAAUCUGGGAGAAUUCUGAAUUUGAGACUUCAAUUUCUGCUUGGAGAGUUCAAUUUUCUGGACCAGUUCACUCUCGAGCUGCAUCGCCAGCAGCAACCCAACCAUUCAAUGGCUUUUGGACGACGAGAGCGAGAACGAUGACGACGACCAGAAACGGAAAUAAGUAACAUGUCGACCCCUUUUUGGCUCUUCACACGAAUUGGAGGAGUUACACGUACAACUCAAGAGGGAUUUUGUGCGAAUGAACCCGUUUUUUCAUCUUGUGCAUGGACAAAUUGGGGGAGUGGACCAUAGCUGUGAGUUCGUCUUAACGAAGGCAAAUUGACAAAGUGAUCGGAUGAAAUGACUUGAUGAGUGGCCACCAAACCGUAAUCCAAUCCUCGAAGGAGCCACUGCCAUCAAUUUAUGGCAACCAAAUUUUUCUGGAUGAUCCUAUCUUGAUCACGCACUUCACAAAUCCACUCAAUUUUAGAUUGAAAGCCUCUCAAUUCGAGACCGCAAAAAGCAAACAAUGCCUUCAUCAUCGGGCCAGAUAGAUAUGAAUCAGAAUUCUCCAUCCAAUCUAUUCUUAUCGCUCAUGUGAAGAGAUGGAAUGCAAAAAAGAACGAGCCCGAAGUUGCCUUCGCUCGCUUCAACGACCACGCCAGUAAAGCAAGCCAACCAAACCAUCCCAACCAUCCAUCCAACCAUCCAUCCAUCCACUAGUCAGCAGCUAACCAAUGAGUACCUCUCAGCUGUUACAGAGAGGCAGGCAGCCAAGCAAGCAGGCUGGCGACCAUGUAUUAUUCUGUUUGUAUUGCCAUUUCGCAUCCAACAUUCUGAAAGGGACCCAAAUUGAAUAAUUUUCAGAUUCACAAAAGCUGCCCAUUCCUGCAACCCCGGAGACGAAAUCAUAGAUGGAUAAAAGUCUUCCUCUGACUCAACCCGGACACGAAUCAGCCGGAUGGUUGGCACGUCUGUGAAACGAAUAAGAGAUCUGGCUUGGAAAUUUGGAAAUCUACAUAAGCUAAUCUCGAGAACUGGCAUUUCUUUUUCUCUCAUUCCUUCCUUCCAACCAACCAACCAUUCAACAACCCCUCUAGGUGUUCUCUGCAGCGCUAGUGCUAGUGCGUAUUGAUGCACACAUGCACAUGUGAGUGAGAAGAAAAAAGAAGAAUGUGGAGCCUUUCCGUCGAGCUCAAAUGUGUUAUUAUUGUAAGAUUGGCCCUCCCGGGUGGAAAAACAUCAAUAAAGCCAUUUCCAUUGAAUUCAUUAACAAUGAGCUAUUCAAAUAAGGAGCAGGAGCAAGGGGGAAAAAGGCGAUGUCCACGAAGCCAAUCUACAUUACAAGUGAGCAUGGAAUGGUUCCGUUUCACGGAUUGGAAGGAGCCGAACGUAUAAAGCAUUACCAAACACGGUUCAAACCACACACAAAUACGUGUGCAGUAUGUAUACGCAUAACGAGCAAGGUACAAUCCCCACAGUGAAUGCGGUCUAAUCAGGAUAAUGUUGAUUUUCAGCUCGAAAUGGGAAAAGGCUCCCUAUGGAAUCAAAGCUUCGUUACGAAAAGGAGAGUCAAGAGCGAGCAAGAACAAAAAAAAACUUUUUGAUGGAAACCACAUGUCCCAUGAAAUGUCAUAUCUCCAAAUGUCACAAUUCAACGGAGUAACGAUGAAGAGGGAUGGUAUAUGUAAUGGAUUCACGAGAUGAAA